rnacentral:rRNA from 1 species
GACGAACGCUGGCGGCGUGCCUAAUACAUGCAAGUCGAACGCUUUUUCUUUCACCGGAGCUUGCUCCACCGAAAGAAAAGGAGUGGCGAACGGGUGAGUAACACGUGGGUAACCUGCCCAUCAGAAGGGGAUAACACUUGGAAACAGGUGCUAAUACCGUAUAACAGUCGAAACCGCAUGGUUUCGAUUUGAAAGGCGCUUUUGCGUCACUGAUGGAUGGACCCGCGGUGCAUUAGCUAGUUGGUGAGGUAACGGCUCACCAAGGCAACGAUGCAUAGCCGACCUGAGAGGGUGAGCGGCCACAUUGGGACUGAGACACGGCCCAAACUCCUACGGGAGGCAGCAGUAGGGAAUCUUCGGCAAUGGACGAAAGUCUGACCGAGCAACGCCGCGUGAGUGAAGAAGGUUUUCGGAUCGUAAAACUCUGUUGUUAGAGAAGAACAAGGAUGAGAGUAAAAAGUUCAUCCCUUGACGGUAUCUAACCAGAAAGCCACGGCUAACUACGUGCCAGCCGCCGCAGUAA